rnacentral:ribozyme from 1 species
GAUGCAAACCAAAAUGCCCGUUGAUGACCAAUGACCUACAGGCUUGUUAAUGCCAAGCAAAAUGCAUACAAAGACCAAUGUGUGGAUGGAAGGCGGUUGAGGCGCAUCGAUGCAAAUCCAUGCCUGCCGGUAAUCACUGACCUAAAAAGCUUGGUGAUGCACAGCAGAGUGCACACAAGCACA